CUAUCCACUUUUCAGAGGAGUGACCAUGAUCAUGAAGGUGAUUCUCCCAGAACCAGAUAAGCCAAUUACACUUCGGGUGGGCUGACACCUGUGACAUCCCCAAAUGUGGAAUACUCAACUGUAAAAUCUGUAAUGGUGGGGGAUUAGCAGCUAAAACUCCCC